AGGACGAACGCUGGCGGCGCGCUUAACACAUGCAAGUCGAGCGAGAACCAUUCCUUCGGGAAUGGGGACAGCGGCGAACGGGUGAGUAACACGUGGGUAAUCUGCCCUCGAUUCUGGGAUAGCCCGGGGAAACCCGGAUUAAUACCGGAUAGCCUCUCGAGCUUACGAGCUCGUGAGAAAAGGUAGCUUCGGCCUCCGAUCGAGGAUGAGCCCGCGGCGGAUUAGCUUGUGGUGGGUAAUGGCCUACCAAGGCGACGAUCCGUAGCUGGUCUGAGAGGACGAUCAGCCACACUGGGACUGAGACACGGCCCAGACUCCUACGGGAGCAGCAGUGGGAAUCGUAGCGCAAUGGGCGAAAGCCUGACGCAGCGACGCCGCGUGGGGGAAGAGGCCGUUCGGGUUGUAAACCUCUUUCGAGCGAGGACGAACGCCGACGUACGGUUAACUA
rnacentral:rRNA from 1 species